AUUGAACGCUGGCGGCAUGCCUUACACAUGCAAGUCGAACGGCAGCACGGGGGCAACCCUGGUGGCGAGUGGCGAACGGGUGAGUAAUGCAUCGGAACGUGCCCAGUAGUGGGGGAUAACCAGUCGAAAGACUGGCUAAUACCGCAUACGACCUAAGGGUGAAAGCGGGGGACCGUAAGGCCUCGCGCUAUUGGAGCGGCCGAUGUCUGAUUAGCUAGUUGGCGGGGUAAGAGCCCACCAAGGCGACGAUCAGUAGCUGGUCUGAGAGGACGACCAGCCACACGGGGACUGAGACACGGCCCAGACUCCUACGGGAGGCAGCAGUGGGGAAUUUUGGACAAUGGGCGCAAGCCUGAUCCAGCCAUGCCGCGUGCGGGAAGAAGGCCUUCGGGUUGUAAACCGCUUUUGGCAGGAACGAAACGGCGCAGGCCAAUACCUUGCGCUAAUGACGGUACCUGCAGAAUAAGCACCGGCUAACUACGUGCCAGCCGCCGCCGUAACAC
rnacentral:rRNA from 1 species